UAGCGAAGCUGUUUAGAUACUGUUGAAUUAUGCCCAUGUAACACAGAAAUGGCCCGGCAGGGAUGCCGGGACAAGGAGAAAUCGAGCCAUGGAAGGCGAGUUUCGACGGUUUCGUCGAGCAUAGAAAGCCUGCAAGGCAUAAUUCUUACAGUAUCUUGGCAGCGCAGCGU
rfam:[Eubacterium rectale] ATCC 33656 chromosome, complete genome.